GCCCUGGAUUGACCUUUUUUGAGACAACAGAUUUGGGUUUGUCUUAAAUUCCUUCCUCAGCCUUCUGGUUACCCAUAUUUCAGGAUUGAACAUUCACAUCUUAGUUAGAUUUCUUGAUUAUUAAAAAAAUGACUGGGUUAUUUGGGGUUUGUUUUGUUUUAGACAGAGUUAUAAUGCUGUAAUACAGGGUGUUCUCAAAUUUUCAGCUCCCCUCCCACCUGAGGACCCUGAAAGGUAGAAUUAACAAGCAUGAGUCACCUUACGUGUUUUAAUAACCUUACUCAUUUUCUAGCUCAAUGAAAGUGAGCAAGCACCUGCUGUGUGAUGAGGAUAAAGGUAUGAAUAAACCAAUCUCUGUUAGCCUUCAGGAACUUUAAUAUGGGAAGGCAGGUAAUUGACAUAUCAGAGUGUGAGAUACUCAUGUAAUAAAAUACAUAGUAGGAGUAACUCAUGAUUCUGACAGCAUUUCACGAGUAAUUGUGAAAUGUUGAAAUUAAAAGUAGACUAAAAAUCAUAGGAGCGGGCUGGUAUUGGUUUAUCUUUAACCACAAAGGCCACAGGUCUUUGUUUUCAGUCUUUUGAUUUAAAAGUGCCUUUUUGUUUAGUCAGUGUUGAAUAUAUUCUUUAGAGUUAAAGCAUUGACUUGUUUACUGAGACUAUUUGACAUUUUUAAUUUAAUGCUGGGGAAACUUGCCCCUCUGACUAGAUGCUCAGACUUAGGAAUGAGACAACAGCUCUGUCUCCUUUUUAGUGGCUUAUGUAUCUGUCACAUACUGUACUGUGCCCAUUUCAUUCAUACUUUUUCACUGUAGUGACUAAACUAAUAAUAAAAAGAACUUGUGCUUUGCGUAAGCAUGUCUUUGUGAAAUUGCAGUUGUAAACUAAAACAGUGGGGGAAGUGAUAACAUCACACAAGUUGCAGAUUGUCCGCUACAUCUGGAUAAUAAAUGUUUUCCUUUGGAGUACUACCUUAGGUCAGAUUGUGUUUGGAGAUUCCUGGGUUUGUUCUUUAAAUUUUACUUAAAUUUUCAGAAAAGGGGAACUUGAAUUUUAUUAAAUUAUACUCAAAUACCUCUGAAUCAAUUCAAAAUUCACACAUAAAUGCUUGAAGUUACUAUGGGGUAUGCUGUUUUUUUAAUUUCUAAAGAUAGUUGGAACCACAAAGAAUUGGUAAAGAAGUGCUGGUUAUCUGAUUUAAAUGUGGGAAAGAGGGUCAUUGCAUUAUAUUAACAGUAGUCCCGUUAAUGCUUCACGUCAUCAGAAAUAAGUUCCCUGUCUCUCAUGUGGUUAAUUUUCUUUAAUUUGAAAGGUAGUUGGCAAGAAAAGAUUUGGAAAUAAUAACUUCCACUUUAGUCUGUGGCAUUUCAGUAUUUGUCAGUAUGGACAGAGGAUAAUCAACUAUAAAUGAAAUCUGAAAUAAAACUAUGUUUAAAAGAGUUAUUGAUCCAACUUCACAUUUUUAUGUCAUUUCAUACUAUCACAGUUAAAAUAGCAAUGGCCAAAAAGCAGCUAGUUCAAGAAAUUUUAAGGUGUAGGGGUGUGUGUGUUUGGAGAUGGAACUUCACUUUACCAUCUUGCCAAGGCUGGCCUAGAAAUUACAACCUUGUACCUCAAGCUGCCUUCAAACUCAUAGUAACUCUCUUGCCUCGGCCUUCAAAGUCCUUAGAUGGAAGGCAUAAGAAGCCACUAAAUCUGACAUUCUUUGAGUCCUUUAGGACUGUGAAUCAAAUGAAAAUAAAAGAAUCAUGUAUGAGACCUCUAUUUUUGUUUUAGGAAGAAUGGGGUUGACAUAGAAGUUUGAGAUUUGAAUGCAUCUCAUCAAGUAGACAAGUAUAUUUUAGUAGGCUUGAAAAUG
rnacentral:lncRNA from 1 species